CAGCCGCCGCGGUAAAACGAAGGGUGCAAGCGUUAAUCGGAAUUACUGGGCGUAAAGCGUGCGUAGGCGGUGAGUUAAGACUGCUGUGAAAUCCCCGGGCUCAACCUGGGAAUGGCAGUGGAUACUGGCUCGCUAGAAUGUGUCAGAGGAUGGUGGAAUUCCCGGUGUAGCGGUGAAAUGCGUAGAGAUCGGGAGGAACAUCAGUGGCGAAGGCGGCCAUCUGGGACAACACUGACGCUGAGGCACGAAAGCGUGGGGAGCAAACGGGAUUAGAUACCCGGGUAGUCCCUGUCUCUUAUAC
rnacentral:rRNA from 1 species